rnacentral:lncRNA from 1 species
CCUUGUUCUACAGCCGUGAUGCCGCCUGUGCCACUUUUACCAUCCAAUGGCCAUGGCGGUCACUCAGAGACCUCCGGCGAUCUCUUCGCCAUCCCAUCCUCCCAUCUCCGGUGGUCUUCCCUCUCUCUCUCUCUUUCUCGUUCGUUGUGACAGCCCCAUCGGGCGAAUCGAGCCACGGCGGCUUCCGCCACCUUCCAAUGGCCGAAGAGGGCCACCGCUAGCUUUCGACGGCAUCUUCCUCUCUCUUCCUUUCCUCUCUCUGCCUAUGUUUCCCUCUCUUUCUUCCCCGACAUCGGUGUGUGCCAUUUUCUCCGUCGGAACCGUUUCGAUUCUCCACCGGUACGAUUUGGUACGCCCCAAACCGGUCGAUUCGAAAUAGUUUCGAAAAUCAUUUGUGAAUUGAUAAGUGGUAUAUUUCUACAUUUAUUUUAGAUAUUUUUGAUAAUUUAUGGUGCUAACA